AGGUCCACAAAGCAAAAGAACAACCAGGUCUGCCACCUCAAGGUCCCAAGCUGCAGAUUCAGGAGAAGCAGUGUCUUCAGAUCGUCGUUUUCUCUAAAUGGACCCAACAAAUAUGAAUACAACAUGCCCCAGGAAACACAGCAGAAGACACUUAGUGAAGAAAAUUAUCUGCAGCAACAGAAGCACAGAUGGUGUAGUGGUUAGCAUUACUGCCUCACAGCACUGAUGUCAUGGGUUCGAUUCCCACCAUGGCCCUAACUGUGUGGAGUUUGUAUAUUCUCCCCGUACUUGCGUGGGUUUCCUUCGGCUACUCCGUUUUCCUCCCACAAUCCCAAAAUAAACUGGUAGGUUAAUUGGCUCCCAACAAAAAUUAACCCUAGCGUGAAUGUGUCUUUGUGUACAUGUGAUAGGGAAUAUAGAUUGUAAGCCCAUUGGGGCUGGGACUGAUGUGAAUGGGCAAAAUAUUCUCUGUACUGCGCUGCGGAAUAUGUGUGCGCUAUAUAAAUAACUGGUAAUAAAAUAAUAAUAAUAACAGCAGCCUCCUUCACCAACCAGAACAAGCUCAGCCACAAUGAGGACAUCACCGACAAAUACACAACCAACUGCUCAACUACAAA